rnacentral:rRNA from 1 species
CGUGCAGGCGGCCAGGCAAGUCUGUCUUAAAAGUGCGGGGCUUAACCCCGUGAUGGGAUGGAAACUGUCAGGCUAGAGUGUCGGAGAGGAAAGCGGAAUUCCUAGUGUAGCGGUGAAAUGCGUAGAUAUUAGGAGGAACACCAGUGGCGAAAGCGGCUUUCUGGACGACAACUGACGCUGAGGCGCGAAAGCCAGGGGAGCAAACG